UACAAUCUAACCACUGCGCCACGGACGCACAAUAUUUGGCAUAACUUUUUUGUAAAUCAAGAAGCUCGUUUUGAUCAGUUUAGAAAAUUAAAAUGUUUAAAUAGAGGUAAGCGCUAGAAAAAGAAUAAGCUAAAACAAAGUGAAGUUACAUUAUAUUUUUAAACAUAUUAGUUGAGGUUGAGAGUUUAUGUUCACUUAUUUUAGUUUAAAAGACAUCUUUGUCAGACACUUGUCUCAGAAACCCUUAGCUAUUCAAAGGCGUCUAAAUUUUAUUACGCAUAAUACAGGUCUUUAAACGUCUUUAAAAAACGCUGAGAAGAGAAAUGUUUUUUUUAAAUAUUGUUACUCUGUAAAAGUUACUGGUAUAUCUGUUACUUCAAUAAAGUUUUCAUUCUAUUUAUAAAAUUUUUUUUUUUUUUUUCCAACCUACUAUUUGUUUAACUUUCUACGGGUAAUACUAAUAUGAAAACAAUUUUUAUUGUUUUUUGAUUUAUACUCUGGUAAAAUAUUCGUUUUCUUAUUUUAAUUUAUAGUUAAAACAUAUAUUUUAUCAUUAUUUUAUUUUAUGGUUUAUUUUCAAGAGAAGGCAGAGACACCAACAAAAAGCUUUGAAGUUAAUGAUAGUGAAGAGGAGGCAGAUAAUUAUAAAAAUCUUUGCAGCUAAAGACAGUGAAGUAUCGCUUGUUUUUUAAAGAAGGCAGAGAAGCCAAUAAAAACCAUUGUAGUUGAAGAUAGUGAAUGUAUGUAUUAAAACUUACCUAUUCAUAUAUAAUUGAUAGCGUUUUAUUUUAAUUUGUUUUUAUUUAUUUUAAUAGUCUAUAGAUAGUAAAUACAAAAAAAAGCUACAUAGUUGAUGAUACAGAAGGUAUGUAUUAUUCAGUGGCGCACGAAUAAAAUAAAGAUUUUUAUGUAUACUUAUCUAAAUAAUUAAUUUAAACAUCCCACCUGGUGAAAAAAUAUGUGAAGAGUUUUAAAACAUGUAAUCUUCAAUAAAUGUAAUAGUCGUUAUUUUAUUAGAUAAAAGGCUUAUGCUUAAAUUUUGAUGAAAUUAUGCUUAAAUUGCAUUUCAUAAAUAGGUCACGGAAUAAUAAAAUGUAUUCAUAUUAAAAACCCUGUAAAAGUCUUAGGUAAAAAAGUCUGCAAGGUAUACGAUUAUUCGUUACAAGACACUUUAAACGAAUGUCUCAGUGACGAAGUUGUUAAUAUUUAUCUCAAAAUAUUAGUAAACAGUAAAGAAAAAGUAUGAUUAAUUAAUGUACUUCAUAAUAAAAUUUUUGUACAAAAAAACCCUUAUUGCAUUUUUUUUUUUUAAAUUUGCCUUUAUUUAAAUAAAAUUUUAAUUCUAAAUAUAAAACAAUAUAUUGAAUGCCAUUCCAUUUAUUGAUGCUUUGAAGAAUCGAAUCGAAGUACUGUAACCAGCUGGGCUACUCUCACUGGAUGAAUUGCCAAUUAAAACUGAUUUAAUACAAAGACAGCAUAAGAAAGAGCUCUUUAAACAAGAUAUGCUAAUAUGCUGUCUGGUGGAAAAAUUUCAUUUGACCCUUGCAAUAAUCAAACCAGGUAAUAAAACAAUUCACUCUAUGGACCCUAUGGGAGAACAGACAAAUUCCAUCAAAAAAGAAGAAGUGAAAUGGAAUUGUUACUUACAACAAAGAUAUGGUGUUUCAGAAAAGUUUGAAAUAUUAACAUUACCAAAUGCCAUACAAGCUGAAGUUUGCUGAAAGUUAUACAAAUGGAGAAGUAUUAAUGCUUUCCACAUGAAGAAGCAUACAGAAAGAGAGAUAAAGGAGGUCAGAAAAGUUGGCAGAAUAGUUUGUGUCGCAUUUGUGGAAGUGAAAUUGGUCCGAAAUCUAGAAAAAAUCAAAAAAAAAUUAAAUGAAUCAAAUGUGAUAUAUGCAUUUAAAUUGAUGGUACCGUAUGAGAUGCAUUGUUUUUAGAAAUGAAAUACAAAUAAAUACAAAUGUAUUAAAUAUAUAUAUAUUAAAUAAUAAAUGAAACUUUGAAAAUUGC